AACGCGAAGAACCUUACCUGACCUUGACAUCCCUCUGACAGACCCGUAAUGGGGUUUUACCUUCGGGACCUCUGAGGCAGGUGAUGCAUGGUCGUCGUCAGCUCGUGUCGUGAGAUGUUGGGUUAAGUCCCGCAACGAGCGCAACCCUUAUCCUUAGUAGCCAGCAGGUAGAGCUGGGCACUCUAGGGAGACUGCCGGGGAUAACCCGGAGGAAGGUGGGGAUGACGUCAAAUCAUCAUGCCCCUUAUGGCCAGGGCUACACACGUGCUACAAUGGUCGGUACAAAGGGAAGCGACCUCGUGAGAGUAAGCAAAUCCCAAAAAUAACGUCUCAGUUCGGAUCGCAGUCCGCAACUCGACUACAUGAAGCUGGAGUCGCUAGUAAUCGCGAAUCAGAAUGUCGCGGUGAAUACGUUCCCGGGUCUUGUACACACCG
rnacentral:rRNA from 1 species